rnacentral:rRNA from 1 species
GAUGAACGCUGGCGGCGUGCCUAAUACAUGCAAGUCGAGCAAACAGACGAGGAGCUUGCUCCUCUGACGUUAGAGGCGGACGGGUGAGUAACACGUGGAUAACCUACCUAUAAGACUGGGAUAACUUCGGGAAACCGGAGCUAAUACCGGAUAAUAUAUUGAACCGCAUGGUUCAAUAGUGAAAGACGGUUUUGCUGUCACUUAUAGAUGGAUCCGCGCCGCAUUAGCUAGUUGGUAAGGUAACGGCUUACCAAGGAGACGAUGCGUAGCCGACCUGAGAGGGUGAUCGGCCACACUGGAACUGAGACGCGGUCCAGACUCCUACGGGAGGCAGCAGUAGGGAAUCUUCCGCAAUGGGCGAAAGCCUGACGGAGCAACGCCGCGUGAGUGAUGAAGGUCUUCGGAUCGUAAAACUCUGUUAUUAGGGAAGAACAAAUGUGUAAGUAACUAUGCACGUCUUGACGGUACCUAAUCAGAAAGCCACGGCUAACUACGUG